AGAGGUGCUCGAGUGGUUGAAGAGGCACGCCUGGAAAGCGUGUGUACCCCAAAAGGGUACCGAGAGUUCGAAUCUCUUCCUCUCCG
rnacentral:tRNA from 1 species